GACGAACGCUGGCGGCAUGCCUAACACAUGCAAGUCGAACGAGAACUUCGGGUCUAGUUGCGCACGGGUGCGUAACGCGUGGGAACCUGCCUUUAGGUUCGGAAUAACUCAGAGUAAUUUGAGCUAAUACCGGAUGAUGUCUUCGGACCAAAGAUUUAUCGCCUUUUGAUGGGCCCGCGUUGGAUUAGCUAGUUGGUGGGGUAAAGGCCUACCAAGGCGACGAUCCAUAGCUGGUCUGAGAGGAUGAUCAGCCACACUGGGACUGAGACACGGCCCAGACUCCGACGGGAGGCAGCAGUGGGGAAUAUUGGACAAUGGGCGAAAGCCUGAUCCAGCAAUGCCGCGUGAGUGAGGAAGGCCUUAGGGUUGUAAAGCUCUUUUACCCGAGAUGAUAAUGACAGUAUCGGGAGAAUAAGCUCCGGCUAACUACGUG
rnacentral:rRNA from 1 species